rnacentral:rRNA from 1 species
GACGAACGCUGGCGGCGUGCUUAACACAUGCAAGUCGAACGGAAAGGCCUCUUUCGGGGGGUACUCGAGUGGCGAACGGGUGAGUAACACGUGAGUAACCUGCCCUUGACUUUGGGAUAACUUCAGGAAACUGGGGCUAAUACCGGAUAGGAGCUCCUGCUGCAUGGUGGGGGUUGGAAAGUUUCGGCGGUUGGGGGUGGACUCGCGGCUUAUCAGCUUGUUGGCGGGGUAGUGGCUUACCAAGGCUUUGACGGGUAGCCGGCCUGAGAGGGUGACCGGCCACAUUGGGACUGAGAUACGGCCCAGACUCCUACGGGAGGCAGCAGUGGGGAAUAUUGCACAAUGGGUGGAAGCCUGAUGCAGCAACGCCGGGUGCGGGAGGACGGCCUUCGGGUUGUAAACCGCUUUCGCUCAUGACGAAGCUUUGUGUGACGGUAGUGGGUAAAGAAGCACCGGCUAACUACGUG